GACGAACGCUGGCGGCGUGCUUAACACAUGCAAGUCGAACGGAAAGGCCCUGCUUUUGUGGGGUGCUCGAGUGGCGAACGGGUGAGUAACACGUGAGUAACCUGCCCUUGACUUUGGGAUAACUUCAGGAAACUGGGGCUAAUACCGGAUAGGAGCUCCUGCUGCAUGGUGGGGGUUGGAAAGUUUCGGCGGUUGGGGAUGGACUCGCGGCUUAUCAGCUUGUUGGUGGGGUAGUGGCUUACCAAGGCUUUGACGGGUAGCCGGCCUGAGAGGGUGACCGGCCACAUUGGGACUGAGAUACGGCGCAGACGCCUACGGGAGGCAGAAGUGGGGAAUAUUGCACAAUGGGCGGAAGCCUGAUGCAGCAACGCCGCGUGCGGGAUGAAGGCCUUCGGGUUGUAAACCGCUUUCGCCUGUGACGAAGCGUGAGUGACGGUAAUGGGUAAAGAAGCACCGGCUAACUACGUG
rnacentral:rRNA from 1 species